rnacentral:rRNA from 1 species
AGAGUUUGAUCAUGGCUCAAGGAUUAACGCUGGCGGUAUGCCUAACACAUGCAAGUCGAACGGAAUACUAAUUAAGAGAAUCUCACACUAGUGAGAGGUUCUCACGAGUAGUAUUUAGUGGCGGACGGGUGAGUAACACGUUGGAACCUGCCCCGAAGUGGGGAAUAACUGCUCGAAAGAGUAGCUAAUACCCCAUAGUAUCCGGUUUAUCCGGAUUAAAGAUUUAUCGCUUCGGGAGGGGCCUGCGUCUGAUUAGCUAGUUGGUGAGGUAAAAGCUCACCAAGGCGACGAUCAGUAGCUGGUUCGAGAGGAUGACCAGCCACACUGGGACUGAGAUACGGCCCAGACUCCUACGGGAGGCAGCAGUGAGGAAUCUUCCACAAUGGCGCAAGCCUGAUGGAGCAAUACCGCGUGCAGGAAGACGCUUUUCGGAGUGUAAACUGCUUUUGUCGUCGAAGAUUAUGACUGUAGACGAAGAAUAAGGACCGGCUAACUACGUG